AUACGGAAGGUCCGGGCGUUAUCCGGAUUUAUUGGGUUUAAAGGGAGCGCAGGCGGAGAUGCAAGCGUGACGUCAAAUUUCGGGGCUCAACCCCGUCUCGUGUCGCGAACUGCGUCCCUUGGUUGCGGGAAGGGGAGGCGGAACUCGUGGUGUAGCGGGGAAAUGCAUAGAUAUCACGAAGAACUCCGAUCGCGAAGGCAGCCUUCCGGCCCGUCAACGACGCUCAUGCUCGAAGGUGCGGGUAUCAAACAGGAUUAGAUACCCUGGUAGUCCACGCAGUAAACGAUGAUAACUAACCGCUGGGUCGUAGUGAUUCAGUGGCCAAGCGAAAGCGAUAAGUUAUCCACCUGGGGAGUACGACCGCAAGGUUGAAACUCAAAUGAAUUGACGGGG
rnacentral:rRNA from 1 species